GGAAGUAGAAGUCGUAACAAGGUUUCCGUAGGUGAACCUGCGGAAGGAUCAUUAACGAGUUAGGGUCUUCUAGGCCCGACCUCCCAACCCUUUGUUUACUGAACCAUUGUUGCCUCGGUGGGUCCGUCUUACGACCGCCGGGGGAUCGCCGCGAGGCGCCCCCUGGCCAGCGCCCACCGAUAGCCCAACCUUUAAAACCCUUUGUGAAUCGUGUCUUAUGUCUAAAUUUAUGAUUAAACAAUCAAAACAAAACUUUCAACAACGGAUCUCUUGGUUCUG
rnacentral:misc_RNA from 1 species